CGUGAUUAACGCUGAUCUCAGCUACGAUCCAGGAGACAAGGGGAGUAAUUCGUUCCAGCUGUGUCCCCACCUGUUGCCCAUCCUCUUGUUAUCCUGUGUCUUUGCCAGUUUCCCGAAUUACCUCAACUGGUUCCUUUCAAUGUAGAAGUUUACUCUGAGCCCGUUUCGGAUGCCUGAAGUCCUCACCCUGUCUGUAAGGGAGAGGCCAACCAGCCUUCAGAGAAAGUUCAUUUAUGCUACUUGUCUCCGUCAUAUUAUUCUUUGAGUCACUAUUCAGAGCUAUGACCAUAGGUGAGGGUAGGGACAUAGAUGGACAGGUGAAUCAUGACUUCACUUUCAUGCUUGACCCUCUCUUCACUAAACAGACAGAUGCAGCGUCUGCAUCACUUCAUCCAUGUCCACAAUCUCCUGCUGCCCUCACCGGUGAAAAACACCCUGAGAUACCUAAACUUCUCCACUUGGUGCAGCAACUUGUUCCUGACCCUGAGUGGACUUGUCACCUCUUUCCAGCUGAGGACCACAGUUUCAGACCUGGAGGAGAUGUUAAUUAUCAUUCUGCUGUGUCACUGGAGCCACCACCUGAUGUAACCAACAUAAUCACAUCAUCUACAAAAACCAGAGAUGAGCUUCUGAGGACACCAAAGUGCAACCUGAGACUCCUGGGUUCUGGAUCAGCUGGUUUGGGGACCUCUGGAUACUGAGCCCCUGGAUCAGUUGGAUAAGGAAACUGUAGCUCUGGCUGCAAAGGUUCAGGCUCAGGAUGCUCAGGAUUUGCAGUCUCAGACAUGGUCCUGGUGUUGGUAACACUCGGCGUUGACUGAUGAAAAGAAGCAGAAUCGCUGCAGUGAAAACAGGUAUUGAGUUGCUGCAGCGACAAACAGGAGCAGAGCUGCAGUAAUGAAUAACAAAUCAAUGAACAAUGAUAAACAUAAAAUAGCUGUUAGAUUACAGCAUGGUCACAAUCAUUGUUGUACUGCUGAAAUGUACCUUUCACUCUGUGAAUAUAACUUAAAUGUGUUUAGUAACAGUAGUUCAAGAAUUAUCAACUCCAACAUGAACAGCUAAGUUUCCCUCGUGAUGGCAGAAUGACGCAGACAGACUAGCUCAGCAUUUCCCAUCUCUUCAGUUACCUACUGUGUAAAUAUUGUAUUAAUAGAGACACCAUUUUAGUUAAUUCACCCGUGAAUUAACUACUACUCAGUCAGCCCGUACAGCUUUACCUUUUCAGUUUCGAUGGUGCAAGCUAAUAAAUUAUGAAAAGUGCAAUGCAGGCCUCUUACCCUUCUCUGUGUGCUGCAGAUUGCAGCAGUUGUCAAUAGGCCGAUCAGUACAAUUCCAGACCCCAAAGCUGUGAUAAUGGCUACAAGGUUAAUGUGACGUCCUGAAACAGAAGAGUCAAUUUCUACUAAUAAAUUCCUCAAGGAAUUCCGCAAGGAAUCCAGUUCAAAUCUAGUAAAAAAAACUUUGCAGUUAAAAUACAGUUUCUGUAUUUUUUCCUCUUUCUUUUAAACUUUGUAAAUACAAUCCAGUAAU